rnacentral:rRNA from 1 species
AGCUAUGCCAUCGGGGUCCGAUUCAGCCCUGCUAGUUGUACGGGUUUAGGCCCGUAGCAAUAGCUCCGUAACACGUGGUCAAACUACCCUCUGGACCGGGAUAUCCUCGGGAAACUGAGGUCAAUCCCAGAUACUGCUUUCAUGUUGGAACACAGAAAGUCGGAAACGGUCCGCCGCCGGAGGACGUGACUGCGGCCGAUUAGGUAGACGGUGGGGUAACGGCCCACCGUGCCGAUAAUCGGUACGGGUUGUGAGAGCAAGAACCCGGAGACGGUAUCUGAGACAAGAUACCGGGCCCUACGGGGCGCAGCAGGCGCGAAACCUUUACACUGCACGCCAGUGCGAUAAGGGGACCCCGAGUGCGAGGGCAUACAGUCCUCGCUUUUCGUGACCGUAAGAAGGUCUCAGAAUAAGAGCUGGGCAAGACCGGUGCCAGCCGCCGCGGUAAUACCGGCAGCUCGAGUGAUAGCCACUCUUAUUGGGCCUAAAGCGUCCGUAGCCGGCCGAACAGGUCCGUCGGGAAAUCCACCCGCUCAACGGGUGGACGUCCGGCGGAAACCAGUCGGCUUGGGGCCGGGAGACCAGAGAGGUACGUCCGGGGUAGGAGUGAAAUCCUGUAAUCCUGGACGGACCGCCGGUAGCGAAAGCGUCUCUGGAGAACGGACCCGACGGUGAGGGACGAAAGCUUGGGUCUCGAACCGGAUUAGAUACCCGGGUAGUCCAAGCUGUAAACGAUGCUCGCUAGGUGUGGCGUUGGCUACGAGCCAGCGCUGUGCCGUAGGGAAGCCGAGAAGCGAGCCGCCUGGGAAGUACGUCCGCAAGGAUGAAACUUAAAGGAAUUGGCGGGGGGAGCACUACAACCGGGAGGAGCCUGCGGUUUA